UUCGAGGUGUUGGAGCAAUAUCGGGCCGUGUGGCUUUGUGUUAUCGUUAUGCGUUUUCGCUGUGUGUUUGGAAUAGUUUGAUUGCGUGAAAUUGGUUGUGAACUAAUCGUGGUAACCGUGAGCUUGGUUUCGUUUAUCCAUCCUUGGACUGCCGGUUUUUCAAAGGUGCACCCACCACACCCAUCUGACCGGAGUCCCGUCUUCGCAACUUGAGACUGUCACAAACUCAAGUCCGUGCUCCAGUGCGACAUAUCUCGUUCUUUUGCCCAGUUUGUGCGUUACAGUGCUGUGCAAGAAUUUGAGAUAAUUAGGGCCGUCAACGAAAUCCAAGUAUAAUAUAUUUCUUUCUUUUUUCUUACCUCAUUAGGCUGGCCGUUUUCGUAAAGGCUGUGGCUGUAGAGUUCUACAUCUAAAAAAGUGAACGGUUUCGCGAAAGGAGCUUGUCUUGCUUAAUUUUCCUUUUCUGCAACAUAUUAUGAAAUUUGAAGGUAUUUUUAGAAUUCUAAUAGUUUGAGGUUGCUAAACAGUAAACUUUGUAACAGCAAGCGUGAACAAUAGUGUUAGUUCGACGUGAGCGCGUUGGUGAAGUUAAAUAAAAAACAGAAAGAAUAAACACAGGGACGGACAGAACAUCAGCUGUUCUGUCCGUCCCUAUGUUUACUCUUUCUGUUUUUAUUUAACAAUAGCGUCUUUGCAAUUUUGGUCUAGUCAUUGCAAGGCCGGCUCAAAACCACAGCAAAGGGAAACCGUCGUUUCGAGGUGAGUUAUUUGUACUCCCCGAGGGUAGGGGGAGGCACCAAUAGGUACCGGCGUGGCCGAAUACCCGCUAACAAUUUUGCCGGUAUAUGCGUAUUGCGCUCUCUGCAUACUUUGGAGUGCAUACGUGAAAUAUUCUGUUUCAGCCUCUGUUCCGAACCGAGAGCGAGUUGCGAGCACGAGCUCACUUUUAAGAUGCGUGCACACACUAGGCAUGUUGCAGCAGUCUUCCAAAGGCCUCGGCACACCCAUACCCUCAAGUUCCUUUUUACUCCAGCGGGUGAACACGUAGCUCUUGAACAAAUUAACAGGCAACUAACUGUGACUUGCCUCCUGGGAACCACGGCAGGACUUGUAGUGCGCAAAAUGGAGCCGUUAGCAUUUUGUAGCCACAUAAAAUGGUGUGGCAGACCAGAUUACAACAGUGAGCACUCGAACGGUUGUCAUCAACGGUUAGAGAACGAAUGAGAAGUUCUAUACCCCUUUCCACUCCGAGUCAUCGCGUCUUUCUUGGUCCUUGUGGGUUUGCGAUCCCUGGCAAAAGCAAUCGCAAACAUAAAAAAAGUGCAGGUUUGCAGUGCGCUUACUCUGUGUGAUCGGUUUAGUCGUCCAUAGCAGAUGCACAAAAACAAUUUGUGCCGCUACGACACUUUUAGUGCUGUUCGAUUGGCUUUGUCGUAUCGUAGCGUCGGCUGCGGUUAGAUUUAGAUUGAAACGGUCUAUAACAUUUGCGUCGUCCGAAUCCGCCAUUUCUAAAAAUUGCCGGUUCAGGAGGUUCUGUCAUGAUAGUGCAUGAACUUGUGCUCAAACGAGUCUGGUCACUCCCUCAGUCGAUGAUGAUUGGUCCUGCUGGCUCCACUGAGGAGCGGUGACCUAGAUUGAGCUCCCCCAGUGUCCCUUUUCUACCUAUUUUGGCUUAUUGUUUUGCCCCCAAAUUCAUUCUAAAAUGCUUCUUCCCUUUCCUUCCUGAUUGCGCACAUAGUUUCGGCCUGGGAGUCCUCGAACCCAGUUUUCCUUCACGUGGCGUUGGGUAUUUUGAAAAUGGCGGGUGUCACUUUUUAUCUCUCCAUGCAUAGCGUACUCGUCCAAUUCGCAUGGCAACAUUGUGAAUGAACCUUUUUUUUUUUUCCAGCUGGAUGGUGGAUGGAGAUGAACUGCUGCCUGUAGUGGCUGGUGUCCGACAGAGCUGUUAUCGGAGCCCUUUUUUUAAUGGCUUAGUGAACCUACGAAGAGAUCGCUCCCGGCGUGCUGACCGAGUGCCUGUCCUGCGACGAGUGCGGCUGCUUCUUCCCCAACCGAGACCUGCUGAGUCUCCACCUGAAAGAAGCGCACGACUCGAGGAAAGGCAAGUUUGAGUGCAGCCGGUGCCCCUACACGAGCAUCUACAAGUUCGACGUCAAGCGCCACGAACGCAUACACACCGGCGAGAAACCCUUCCAGUGCCGGUUCUGCAACCGGGCGUUCGCACAGUCCUCGAACCUGAUCUCGCACCGGCGGACGCACACGGGCGAGCGCCCGUACCGUUGCGGCCGCUGUGACCGGGGGUUCAGCAGGAGGUGCGACAUGCAGCGCCACUGGAAGAGGUGCGACGGCGUCGUGUGACCCGGCCGAAGCCCUGCGGCGACGACGAGCAGUUCGUUUCGGACGUCCUUGCGUCGGACAGCUGCGCGCGUUGCGGCGCUUGCCUGCUUUGCGCGCGGCGUGAUAUUUGUGAGUGUGUGGACUCAAGUUGCGUGUGGGACGACCUGGCACGUGAUGCGACGAUUUUGAGUUUGACGGUCGCCCUCUUCUGGCAACUCCGCCCGACCUCAGCGGGACGAGGAAUCUUGGGGCUUCACUGUCGUCGCUCUUUUCUCGUUUAUUGCCCAGAGAGAAGGCUUGCAGGCCUGGAGAAAGCGGAUUGUGGUGUGUUACCGCUUGCUCCCGUUGUUUAGUGCGUUACAAAUGCCAGCUAAAAAAUUGAUCGGCGUUGGCCUAAGAUGGAUUGUGCGUUGCACAAGCAGUCUUUGUUUGUUUGUUGCGUUUUCACUAAACGAAGUAUGAUAAAAUGUCGAAGGAGCACUUACACAGACUUAAUUGCAUUACCGUAAAGUACAGGGGGAUUGUCCGCCACAUCUUUACUACCCACUGGGUUAAUGGGCAACUCCGCUUCAUUUUUUGUUUUAAAAGAAUGAAUGCAGUCCUCUUCAGUAUCACCUAGGAAGACCACAUAUGAAAUAUUAGGACGUAGUUCUAUCUAAAGGCCCGUUCACACACUUGCGACCUCUUAAAACCGGGUGCCUUGGAACCUCUUAAUAUCUUAUCAUGAGAGGACACACUGGUGCCAUCUAUUGGGUAGCAGUGUAAAGUUGGAGGUCCGGCAUAUUUUCUAUUUUUUUCGCGCAUUAUCCUUUUUUUCUUGGCUCGAAAAACUUUUGUCAACGUUAUAAACGAGCCUUUCGUAUAGGUAUUAUGCACAGUAGUCCUUGGAAAUCCCGCAAAACCUUCGCUCUUGUAAAAUGCAGAUCCAGAGUCACCGCAUAGAUGGUGCCAGAGUGCCAGUGUGUUCUCUUAUCCGAAGAAAUUUUAAGAGGUUUCAACGGGUCUCGUCUCUUGCAAGAGUGUGAACGGGCCUUAAAUGUUCUUUAAACGGUCUGGCAAACUGUACAACUCGCCAGGCUGCCGAAAUCGGCUGACCCGAGCAGGCGAAUUGAGGCACAACCAAAAGCGCAAUCAAAGAUAUGGCAUGGGCGUAGCCAGCAUUGACCUAAAGGUCGCCACCAUUGCCCCCCUUUGCUUGUUCAUACUUUUCUGGUCGAGCGUAAUGGGUGACAUCAGCAGCGUUUUCUCUUGGCGCUCAGCGGUGUCCUUGUGGUUGGCGUAAUGUGCCUGCGAAGCGUGCUUCUUGGGAGCCGUUUGGCGGCCCCACCAUGGUUCCACUUCCACAGUCUCCCGCGUCACGACCGCCGUUGUCUCACCAUUUGUGAUUAUUGUCUCUCGGAAGUUUUGUCCACACUACGGACACUACGUGCGCAGACUAAUGCUGCAGUUGUGAUGAUGUCUUCGAAUGUCAUAGACACCAAAACGUAGCGAAGUGUGGUGCAGACUACACUUGAUCCUGACAUACGCCUGCCCCCACCCCGCCAGUCGUUGCGUAGAGGAUCACGUGACAUCUUGCACCACGUGAUAGGCAUGUUCUUGGCAGCCCAAGGCCAAUGUUGCCGGACGGAGUCGAAGUUUCGAUUUCUGCUCGUGUUUAAAAUUAUGUUUAAAACUAUAUAUCCCUUUGUUUACAAAGCAAAUGAAGUGUGUUUUACUAUGGCUUUUUAGUGCGAAAUCACUCAUUAUCCCGAAAUUUUCAGAAUUGAGUGGAGUUGCCUUGUAAUGCAUAAUUUGAAGAAUUCUCAAAUUUGGAAAAUGUUAAUAGUGGACGCUUGAACGAAGCAGGCGAUUCUGCGGUAUAUUACGGUAAUAGUACAAAAGAUUAUUGGCAGCAGCCACUAGCUUGAGUAUUGAUCUAUAAACGUUUCAUGUAUUCUAGCCUAUUUUGAACUGUAUGGAAAACAAAAUAGGAACUCGUGUCAGCGUAAGCACAUGCUUGGUAUUCAAGUGAAGUGCCAACAUUUGCAGGUCGUAUGAUUUAGAACAGGGGUCUCCAAACUUUUUGACUAAAGGGGCGGAUGGAGGAUCUGUCACUGUCUUAAGGGCUGGUACAAAAAUAAAUAAUCAUAAAUGAGGUAAAACAAAAUUGAUUAUACUAGAUAAGCAUAUAAAUACAAAAUUAAAAGUUAUGAGUAAAAAUUAAGCAAAUAAAAGGUGGAUGAAUACAUAUGCAGUAUUUCAAGAUUAAAUUUUUAGAUAAUUAUGACCCAAUAAUUGGGACCCACAAAACCUACCAGGCACAAGCCAAAGCACGUAGGAACUUUGGAAUCUACACACAGGGCAGAAGACUAGUGAGAAUGAUAGAACUGAUGCUGACAAUAUGCAAUAGAUACGACAACAGACUCUAAGCCCAAUAUACAUGGGAAUGCAAAGGAAUUUUAACACGCAUAGUUACACAAAUACGAAACAGGGGACUAAGAAUGAUGACAAUGUCCAAUGAAUAAUAUGGCGAAGGACACGCCUUACGAUGGGCAGUUUUCUCAAGUUUUAUUCUGGUAUCCUUGCCUACUUUACGGCGCCACUUUACGCGCGUUUUUGCGUCGGUAGCAGUGGACUUGCUGGGAACGGGUCCCGGGCCGGGCUUCGUUGAGAGGACUGCGGCGAGCCACGGGCCAGUCGGAAGAACUCCGCGGGCGUGGUUCGGCCUGCAUGUCGAAGUUUGGAGACCCCUCAUUUAGAACAUACUUCAAUUUACCGUGCUCUCGCAUCUCCUACAAUAUUACAUUAUUACAAUUAUAGAUGGAUGCCUAUACAGCUAUACGAAAAACUUGAAGCAGUUUUUGCUUUCUAGCAUCUUUUAUUAACAAUCAGUGGCACUCACUCCUUUGGUCUUUAAAUAAGGACGCUUGAAAGUGAAAGUUUAACCUAAGGCUACCAAGGCAUCCACCUGUAUCAGGAAUUGGUUGCAAUUAUUAUCUUCAAAUUAUAUGUACCUGCUGGUCUCUACUUUGGACAUGCAUGUUGCUGCAUUUACUGCAUACAAGGACAGCAGGAAAGAGCAUGAAGAAAUAACAAGAAUCAUUACUCUUCAGGUAUGAUGGGGGCAUUACGAUCUUGGUUUUUUUUUCAUGCUCUUUCCUGCUGUCCUUGUAUGAUUGUAUGAGGAUAAAUAUAAAUUAAAACCAAAAUGAUGCAAUACAGGGAAACAGGUUCAUUGUGCACAAACGGUCUGAUCUUAUAUGCGGCUGGACUUUUGGGGGAGACUUUUUUGCCCAUUAGUUCAUGCCAAGGCAUGACAUUGCAUAAGUUGGCUUGCUUGCAUGUUUGCAUCAAUAGUCUUGUGCUUGGCUUCGUGUAGGCUGAAAGCUAUGUGAAAUGACAAAACUUUGGCGCAUAGUUUACCAAAUUGUCUAUCCCGACAAAGAUCACAGAGUGGUAACAGGAAUAUGGAUUUCUAUGUGUAGAGUCUUAGAAGAAGGUAACGAAAUAUUUUUUUUUCUUUUGUAAAAUAUUAUAUUCCUGACAUGGAUCACUCGCGACUCGGCCAUGAAUGCAGGAGGUGACAAGGAUAUCUUUUCAUUAUGGCUUUUAAUCCGACUAGGCGAUGCAUUCUGAAUUAUUAAUAAGCGCUCGACAAGGUGUACAUGAUAAAAUGCAAGCACUUGAGAUUUGUGUCUGUGCUACACUUCCUCUUGUUCAGUGUUUCACAGUUUUCUUUUUGUUUUUUUAUCAUUUUUUUGUGUACAUGAUAGUAUACUUUAGUGACAAACACUAACUAGAGAUAAGUCAGGUAUGCGAGGUGGCAGCAGUUUGUAACAUGCACCGAAGACUUACAACAAAGGAUAUUAGUCUCCUCAAAGGAAACAUGCCAGUUAGAUAGUUCUUUUGUGUUGUCCACAAAAAGACCCGGGAAGACUGUCUCAUCUCCGUCUGUCUUCAUCCAAACAAAAAUUGAAAUAUUCAAAUUUUGUUCUGAAAUGAGUCAAGCAUGAUGGAUAAUAACCGUAAAUGAUAAUCGCAUGCUUGCAUUUUGAACGACUGGCAAUAUUUUUCGUUCCAAACGGUGCACUCGAGCGAGCGCUCGAAGAUUUGCGAACGGAGAGUGCGAUGCGUCAUGAAAUAUCCGGCACAAACAAACAGAAAGAAAAGAUUCCCCGCAUUCGUGACGUAGCAAUGCUGGCGUGGUUAUGAGCUUUGCCGUUGGUGGCAUUAUCAGCGUUGUGGUGGUGUCAAUAGUGUCAACGCGUUACAACCGAGCCGUUCGAAGUACCCAUAAGUGACGAGCGUGUGACUGGCCCAAGAAGCACGUAGCUUCCACAACGCUGUCAGCUUGGGGCUGAACGGGGUGGGGAAAGCAACUUUUGUCCGAGUUUUGAGCAACGGGCUAAUCUUCUAGGGGAAGAAUGGCUGUCCGGGUACACAAACAAGGGUCCGACAAAGCGGGGAGUACCUCCUUUCCGUCUUCUUGGACUGUUUGGUACAAUGCGCGGCAGGAAAGCUAAGAAGGAAAAUGUUGAAAUUCCAAAGAGCUGCGCUGCUUCAAUGGAACUUGCUACGUGACUAUGUGUCAAGUUCCCCAACGUUGCUAGAUUACCUCCCAAAUAGGCUCGACAUGCAUCCACCAGGUGCUUAUUGAAAGAUAGUUUAAUUAGCUUUAAAAUUUGUUUGCUUGUGCCUUUCAACGAAAGACAUGUAUUUUCGAGGUUAUGCCGCAACAUGCGACACGUUAAAGCUAUAAAAUGAGCGCUGGAAUUUUGUUUCCGUACCCCUUUAAGAAAACGUUCUUGAGAAUGCUAGGUUGUCUGUCUGUCCAUCGAAGUCCCAAGAACAAUGUCUCGUCCCUCCAUCCACGGAGGUCUUAAGAAGAGAGUCUUGGGAUCAUUAGUUUGUCUAUCUGUCCCUCGGUGUUGGGUUUUUUGUCGUAAGCGCCUCGCCACCGUGCACGUCGAAGCUAAUCGUCGAAUAUGCCUUCCUUCCCCGGCAGCCCACGAAGAGAUCAGCCCCGACGCCGAGCUCUCCUUUCGCAGCGGGUACGGCGUGGUCUCGCCGACCUGGGAACUGCCAAGCCCCCACCCGAGGGACGUGAACGGCUCCAGGAAGGGCAGGUUUGCGUGCGGCUACUGCCCCUACUCGAGCAACUUCAAGUGCAGCGUGGUGUGCCACGAACGAAUUCACACCGGCGAGAAACCCUUCCAGUGCCGGCAGUGCAACCGAGCGUUCACGCAGUCCUCGGCCUUGCUUUCGCACCGGCGGACCCACACCGGCAAGCGUCCGUACCCGUGUGGCCGCUGCGGCCGGGUGUUCAGCCGGAAGAGCAGCAUGCAGCGACACCGGAAGACGUGCGACUGUUCCGUGCAAACCACCUGAAGCUUGCCGGCGGCGAUGACGACGAGCCAUUGGGCUGGGACGUUGUCGCGCCGUGCGACCGCAUGCAUUGCAAUCGUUCGGCCAUGCCUGAAAUGCAUCUCUGGCCAGCUUGUUUGGCGUCCUCUGCGGAGCGCAAGUUCUUCUGCUUCGUGCACAGGGGUUGCGGUGAUGUCAGAAAACGGAGCUCUUAUUGGCUAGUUGAAAAAAAUAGUGGGCAAACCUCGAGGCGUCUAGCAUCAGGAUCUACCCGCUAUCCUUUCAAUCAAAACCAGUCAGAGCUUGGCAUCGUUCUGACGUCACUGCAACUCCUGCACAAGAAGCAGGCGACUUGCUCUCCGCGUACUGCCAGUGCUGAAGGUGGUUUCGAAGCAAUGGCAUACAAUGUCAGAAAAGUCAUGUCUGAGAGGAGCGGCGGCGUGACACUUCUGCUGCGUCGUCGACGCAGGAAUCGAGGGACCGCGUUUGAGGCAAGGUAGACGCACUGACCGGAGAUGCGCUCAAGGUGCCGUAGCACGGCCACGACGCGUGCGGCGAGAGCUUCGUGGUUGCGCCGACUAGGGUCGCGCGUAGAACAACAGGUUCGCGAGCAGCGAUUGUGCGACUGGCGGUCGCCCUUCUUCCUGCGACUUCACCUACCCUCGGUGAUGGCGGCGGGGGGUAUUAGGCCUUUACUCUCUUCUCUUCACUUCCGAAAGAGAAGGAGGAUUGAACAAUGUUGCUGAUUCUUCCCGUUCUUUAGCGUCUGAAGGGAAUGAGACAUGUGUUCAUCAUAACAGGAAUUUGUGUAGUAUAAAAGAAAAAGGGAAAAGGCACCAGCUUGAAUAUUAGUCUGUGAAUCUGUCAUGUUCUUUAGCUAAUUGUGGACUGUAAAAAAACAAAGUGGGUGCUCGUGUUUGUGCAGGCCUGUGCUCAUUGUUCUUUUGUUAGUAAAAUUUGAGCAUUUGCAUAUCAUACGGUUUUGAAAGGGGGUCUCCAAACAUUAUGGCUGAGGGGCCGGAUUAGGUGUCUGUCGGAGCCUCGAGGGCCAGAAAAUAAACACGUUAAUAUAAAUGUGAAAAAGAAAAAAAAAGUAGAGAAAAGUGAUCUUAUACAAAAAAUGAAAGUAGAGUAAAAAAAAACUUCAUGGUGUAAUAAGAGAAAACCUACGAGUAAUACAGUUCAAUAUAUAGUAUAAGUUAAUAUAUUUGGCUGAUUAUGACAUACGUUCUAGCGCAGAAACCUCACCGUGCAUUAAUCGAGGCAUUUACAAACGUUGGCAUAUUUGAAAAUGGGAGAAAAAUAAUGAAAAUGGUAGAAAUGAUUAUAGCAACACGCACAACUUAUCAGACAGAAAAACAAAAUAAUUUUAAUGUAAUUACACAGACAUAAAAUGGGACUAGGAACGUUGAUGACAAUGUGCAUUAAAUGUGACACAAAACUAUGAGCAGCGUAAAAAGUUGGAAGGGAUAGAAGCCACGGGGCCAGGUGUCGCUUCAAGGACUGCUGCCUGCCGCAGGCCGAUGGGCAGGCCGCUGGGAGCCGGGGUUUGGAGACCCCUGAUUUAGAACAUACUUGAUUUUACCAUGGUCUUGGAAAUAGGUACAUAAUAUGUCCUGUUAUAAAGUGAGUUGUGGUUUAGAUUUUCAUAUUAUUGUUUUGUCACUUGAAACCUGCAGUGACUAAAAUUGCCUCACCUUGCGGAGAUGGUGCGACACUUAAAUUGGCAUAUUUAUAAGCUCCGUUUAUUGUCUUUGGCAGUUGUGGUUAUUGUUUUCAAAUUAUUUGAAAUUGCUGUCCUCUAUUUCGGAGAUUCUUGGACAGCAAAUGAUAAGUUCCGGUGUCUGAAAUAGGAGGCCAUUGUUGGGAUCCUGUUAUUUGUUCAUGCUGUUUCCUGAUGUGAUGUGCAAGUUUUACGAAUAUAAAUCUAAAAUAAAAGCAGAAUGACAACUUGAAAA